rnacentral:sRNA from 1 species
GCAAAAAAAGAAGAAAAAAA